CUGUAGGUCAUUACCCUCUCCCUGUAGGUCCUUACCCUCUCCCUGUAGGUCAUUACCCUCUUCCUGUAGGUCCUUACUCUCUCCCUGUAGGUCCUUCCCCUCCCUGUAGGUCCAUGUCCUUACCCUCUUCCUGUAGGUCCUUACCCUCUCCCUGUAGGUCCUUACCCUCUCCCGAUAGGUCCUUACCCUCUUCCUAUAGGUCCUUACCCUCUCCCUGUAGGUCCUUACCCUCUCCCUGUAGGUCCUUGCCCUCCCUGUAGGUCCAUGUCCUUACCCUCUUCCUGUAGGUCCUUACCCUCUCCCUGUAGGUCCUUACCCUCUCCCUAUAGGUCCUUACCCUCUCCCUAUAGG